rnacentral:rRNA from 1 species
AGCAGCCGCGGUAAUUCCAGCUCCGAUAGCGUAUAUUAAAGUUGUUGCAGUUAAAAAGCUCGUAGUUGAAUUUCGGGAUUCUACCAUUGGUCGGGCAAUAGUCUGUACUGGUGUGUAGAAUUUCUACCUUCUGGGGAACUAUCAUGUUAUUUAUUUAGCGUGGUAGGAAACCAGGACCUUUACCUUGAAAAAAUUAGAGUGUUCAAAGCAGGCUUACGUCUGAAUACAUUAGCAUGGAAUAAUAAAAUAGGACGGUGGUCCUGUUUUGUUGGCUUCUGAAUCACCGUAAUGAUUAAUAGGGAUAGUUGGGGGCAUUAGUAUUCAAUUGUCAGAGGUGAAAUUCUUGGAUUUGU